GUUUCCGCAUAAAAUAGAUGAAUUAAUGCUUCCAUAUCGUGGAAUGUGCAGUUUGAUAAACUUUGUUCAGAUAACCAAAUCGGUACCGUCAAAACUGCGCAUAUUGUGUAAUGACAUAAUUGUAUAUUUUAAUCGUCUGAUUGAGUGAACUAAGUAUCUUAGAGCUUCGUGGAAAUAUCAAGUUAUAGUUACACUGAAUGGAAAGUUCGCUGUUAGGGGAGACCGAUCCUUCCCUUAAUGUUUAGUGCCUUGCGGAUGCCUAGAAAAUGCUAGAAAAACGUCGGCGGUU